rnacentral:misc_RNA from 1 species
UCCGAGUUGACCCCGGCAGUCUCCUAUGAGUCCCCACCAUCACCCGCUUUAACUAGCAUGUCAAACCCAGGUAAGGUUCUUCGCGUUGCAUCGAAUUAAGCCACAUGCUCCGCCGCUUGUGCGGGCCCCCGUCAAUUCCUUUGAGUUUUAGCCUUGCGGCCGUACUCCCCAGGCGGAGUGCUUAAUGCGUUAGCUGCGGCACAGAGCGGGUUGAAGACCGCCCCACACCUAGCACUCAACGUUUACGGCUGGGACUAC